AAUACGAUCGGAGGCGCGUCCGAGAUGAGUAAGGUUCUCUUUCAAGGGGAGAAUAUUGAGAGAGCCUGAAAGGCGAGGACGCCGAAGGGUGUAAGGUUUCUCCCACCUUACAUGCCUGGGGGUACAGGGAAUACCUGUGCCACUGUCACGGAAAUAUCCGUGGAGAGCCGAUCGUUGA
rnacentral:ncRNA from 2 species